GGCCCUGUGGUGAAUUGGUAGCAUGCGAGGGCAAGUUUGAGCCUUGAGUUUCUCGGUUCGAAUCCGAGCAGGGCCA